GCUGGGGGAAGGAGCCGGGCUCUGAGAAAAGGAGUUUGAGUUUUUUUUUCUCCCCCGAUGUCAAUGCAGAGCUGCUCCUGGCUCCGUACCAGCCCAAGGAUCUUUGAAGGGGACCUAAAGCCUGCUGCAUGCAUCUAAUCAAAAAGGCAUGGGUACUCCUGCACGAGUCUUUCAUCUGAGUAAAGCACGAAAGGGAUCCUAAGCAAUCAGUGUUUUCUGCUGCAUCCACCACACCCCAAGGACAUCACACAGAGACAGAUGCCAGGCUCUUCAGUGAGGAUCAGCCUUUGAAGACCAACAGCACAGCCUGGCAUCACUUCGGCUGCCGGGUGCCCCUGGAGAGCAAAACCUUCAGUUCUGGAGGAAUUACUCUGUAGAGGGAAAUAGGAGCAGUUUGACAGCCUGACUCAUGAUCUUUGUAUUAUUAUUACUGGUAGUGAAACUAUGAUAGGAUCCAGGAGCCUGAACCAUGGAUCAGGAAUGUGCUUUUGAAGAGAAACUCCUGGCCUUGCUGCUUUGGCUUGUGUUACAAGGCAGUCUUAAGGCAGGCACACAUGGGGGUUUUUUUCAAUAGCAGCUAAACUGGAAGCUGUGAAGGGUGGCCAGUCCCCGGGAGUGGGCUAGAGGCACCCUAAAGUUAUCAGCUAAAAUAUGUGUGGUGUGGAUGGUGGGUUCUCAGCUCCAUGAAUCCAUUCUGUCCUGAACCUCCCUGCUUUGGAGCACUGGCACAGCCAGCUCCUGCACAGGAUAUGCAGUCAGCAGGAAUAUUGGCUGGUUUACUCUCUCUUCCUGAGGUUACUGAAAGGCUGAGGGUGUCGCAGGAUAGAUGCAAAGCAGAGCCACUGCUUUAGGUGUUUUCAUUCUGGUUCUCAGUAGCAUGAGGGUUGUUGUUAGUAGUUUUAUUAUCUUUUAAAUCUAAUUACUUCUAGGAAGUUGAAAGAUGAGGAACUCAAAAUGAAGAUACUGAUGAAUAAUGGUGUGACAAAGGGGAAAAUAUCUGAAAUAUUUCUCAUUAAUAUGGCUUUUUGUUGAGGUGUGUUAUUUGCUAGAGCAACACAGGCUGUUAAAAAAUCCAAUAAGUACACAUAAAACAAAAAACACCAGGAAACUAGUUUAUAAGGUAAUAUAAGGUAAUAUAACUUUCUUCCAUCAAAAAGCAGUUUAUCCAGUAUAACAGUAGGAUUAAAACAAAUAGAUUUACAUAAUAGAAAAGAUGGAGUUCCCUGUUUUCCAGAGACUGUCAUGGGAAUCAGGGGCAGCUUCAGAAGGGACUUGUAGGUAGGAAGUUGAGUGGAGUUUGCCUACUUUUAGUUGAUGAACAAGGGACCUGCUGCCUAGUGAAGAUGCUGAGCAGCAGGAGAGUGUGCUGGUUAGAUUGACCUGCAGGAGGUUGGACUCACAUCCUGACAAGAGGGGAUCCAGGGGGACCCUGGGUACAUGAGUGGUUGUGCCUAAUUAGGGGGGAAGCAUACCGCUUAUUUUGACCAAAGUAGGCAAGUCCUGGAAGUUGUCCUGAGAGCAGCACUGUGCUGUGAGAAAAUACUGUUAUCCCACUUUGCAGGCUGAGGUAGGGGAAUGUGGCUCAGGAAGAGGACUUUGGUGUUUAUGGAAGAUCUCUCCAUUGCACAUGUUUUUUUCAAGACAUCUCACUCUCCUCUGAACUCUCCAGGCUGUAAUGUACCUGAGGGCUACCCAGGCUCCCAGUCAUCUUGAUUUAAGCACUUCUACCACUACCCUCAUCCUAUAUAUGCAAUGUUUUAACUCUUUUCCACAUUUUUUAGUAUAUGAAGAAAAUUUAAAGGUGAAAAUAGUUUUUGAAAUCAUAGAAUGCAAGACCUACAAUAUAUUACUGUACUUUAUUGAUGAUGUUUUUUUCCAUAAUAAAAAUAUUUAGUACAAAGUA